AGAUCCCGUCUUGGUGCCUUUCUCUGGGAGUCUUUUCAAUGAACUGUUUGCAGUCUUCUUUAGGUUAACCUGCAAAAAGAGUCAGGAGGGCAAGAACCGUAGCACCGAAAUAAAUACCUCAAUGUGUGGCGUUUCUCCCAGCUGCAAGCUAUUGAAGAUGGCUGCAUAGUCGCCGUUCAGAUUCAUCAAGUCUUCAUGGCUACCCCUCUCAGUGAUGCAACCUUCCUUCAUGAAAAUCACCUCAUCGCAAUCCACAAGAUACUAAUAAAAAAGAAGAGGAACACUCAUGGUUGAAACCCAAUGAGGUUGAUUAAAUUAAGAGUUACUCUGGACACUCUCAGCGUACCUGGAGCUGGUGUGUGAUGAA